rnacentral:tRNA from 1 species
GCGCCCGUAGCUCAAUUGGAUAGAGCAUCUGACUUCGGAUCAGAAGGUUGGGGGUUCGAGCCCCUCCGGGCGCA